GGAAACUAGGGAAAACAUAAUUAUUGUUUUUAAUUCAACUUUUAUUACAGAGAAGUACUCAAUCAGUGCACUGCUUAUCUUGGUCAGGAUACCAUAUUUAUUCUGCGUGAGAAAAUGGAACUCCAGAACCAUAAGCAAUGGCACCGCAUUGAAAGAAAGAAAAAAGGAGGAGCAUACAUUAUUGAGGCUCUUAUGACAGUAAAUCAUGUUAUCGCCUCAUAUAUCCUCACACAGCUUGGCUACAGAACUUCUAAUCCAGGAAAUAUUUGCUUCUCCUCAUCCCUAAUGCUCCCUUUGAGUGAUGUCCUGUUCCCUUCUUUGGUCGUCCCCUUCUCCGCUUUUGCUUUCCCUCAUACUCGAUAGGCAUUCCCCCUAGGAACAAAUUUUCACCACUUUCUUGCCUUUGCAGACCAUAAAUGAUUGGAGAAGGGAGGGAUGAUUCCUGGUUUAAUAAACAAUUGAUGCUCUUGCUCCUCUGACUACCAUCACAUUCAUUCAGAUUCUCUUUCUCAGGCAUCAAUGUAGUCUCCCUCUUUACCAAUUUAUCAAGCAUUGAUGUUGUGUCCAAAUUUACCCCUUGCUCAGGCAUUGUUGUUGCGUUGGCAUUUCCCUCUAUAGCAGCAGGUCUUUCUUCCUUUCCUGCCUCCAUUCUUUCAAUUUUCAACCGAUGGUACCUUCUUUUCUUUAAUGGCAAUUCCCUUUCUGGUUCAGAAAUCCUCAGCAUAGAUUUUUAGUGAAUUUUUAAUGAGAAAAUUGGAAGGAAUGCAAGAGGAGAAGAAAAAUAAUAACUCUGCUUGAGAAAAGCUCAUAGAAAUGCAUUGUAAGAAAUAAGCUUCAACCUAACUAGCUUCAUCUUUCCGCCAGUCUAUGGUACAUAAAGAUGGGUAGCCUAUUCAACCACUUCUGUUGAAACAACCUAUAUUGGCCUAUCUGGAUAUAUCCAUAAAGCCAAAGAGUUCUCUAUUCUGUACUCAAAGAACAAUUGUGUCUCGUUCACUUUAGUUUGAUCAGUCUUACGCUUUCAUGAAGGCAAAAGUAAUUGCAGUUAUAAAUGACAGAACAGAACAUAAAAGAAUGCCAAAACAUUAAGAAUACAUAGUGCUAGAAUAUGCAUAAAAAAAUUUGCAGCAGCACAAACUUGUGGCAGUCAUGAAUUGUACUUCACAUGAUUUUAGAUAUGUGAUAGAUAAGCACAGGUUGGCAGCCACACAAAUCAAGCUAAUAAUAUUAGCAAGAUGGCUUUAGCCUGUUAAGUACUGUGUCAAAAACCAACAUAACCAGCUCUAUGACCCUUUUGCAUAAAUGCUCAGGAUGACACAAUAUGCAAGCACUACAAGCCUUUAUACAUCCAACUGUUGGUGGCCAUGCAGUUGCUCUUAUUGCAUCAGUAAAUCAUGUUGGAUAUAUAUACAUUAGAUUCUGCAUCAUCUGGAAUAACAGGUCAAGUGAUUGACAUUGCUCUAAUUACAAGGGAAGGGAAGUCGUUCACCUGGCCGAGAGGAAGUUGCUUGGAGUGCAAGGACAAUUUUAGCUGAAAACCUGGACCAAUCUUCUUCCCCACAAAAAGUUCUAGACGAAUUUGAUUUUCUGCCUCCAUUGCCAGUUUCUUCAAUUGUUAGGGACACCUAAAGCAUAUACAUGGUAAGAUAUCUUUGUACAUGCUAAUCUUUGUCAAUUGAAUCAAAUUCGAUCAAGCACCAUUAAGCCCAAGAAAGAAAAUUUGAUGACAGCAGAAACAAUGAUGAAACCAAAGGGGCUUUCAAACUUAGAUUAAAAUGAAAUCCUUGAAAAAGAAGAGGUAAAUUGAAGGACUAACUACAAGGCCAGGCCUCUCCAACUUGUAAUCCUCUUUUCCAGUUUUCUGUUCUACAUGAUUUAAGGAUUUUGUUUCACCAGAUGGUGCCAGCUGCGACUGAUCGUGCAAUUGUGCUGCUUGAGUAUCUUGAUCUGAAAGUUUUCUCAAUGGGCAGGAUGACCAUUUAAUGAGCCGAUUCACCUCUUCAACCAAGAAACGAUCAUCAGAGCAUUGACCUCGUGAAGGAAAAUGGUUGCACCUUGAAACAACUUCAGGUGGCAGAGGUAGCAUAGAACAGGACAUCCGGUUGUUCCGAAUUCUCAUCUCAAGAAUUCAGAGGAAUUAUAUGAAAAUGAAUAGAUGACUGCUUAUCGAUCAGAUUGUGAAAGGGAUUUUACCACAGUUACUGCAAAAGACUAUCUUAACUAGCCUUGACAAAAUACAGAGGAAGAGAGUACCAAACUGUCCGUUACAUGGAGAUAAUCAGGCCAUCAGCUACGUGGAGCUUCAUUCUGCUGCAUUCAUUGCACGUGUAGUACCAAGACAAUUUCAGUUUGGGAUUAACCAAGGUAAAUGACAGUGCAUGAUAUUGCGCGUAUUCGCGUGUCAAACUCUUGAGAAAGAUUGAUCUCAUCUUCAAGAUCACUAGAGCACCACCUCUUUUCAGCACCAAGCUUCCUUGUGUAAAUUUACUAAAGAAGCUCUUGACGUUUUAAAAUGAAAGUAUGCCAUAGCUCCAACUCCAAAAACAACAACACAACACUGCCUUGGCAUGACAAAGCACAUCAGCUGGCUUUGCAAUCCCAAGUAGAUCUGUAUUGCCAAUCAAGCAUUUCUGUUAUAUGAAAUAAUCAAAUUUUGUUAAUAUGAAGUUAAAAUUGGAUCAUCUUUUUAUGCACUAAAUAAGGUAUGGCAUAGCGAAAGUUCUUGGCAGUUUCUAUUUACAUGCUCAACAUAGUCCUCAAACAAUCUUAUUUAACUUGGAUACACCCUCCAAUCUAGAAUUAUACACAGCACAUAAGACAGUAAAAAUGCAUUUUUUUUAUUAUUUUUUAUGUUUAAGGUUCAAAUGGCCAUUACACUAUGACAAUGAGUAUAAAGAAACUUCCCAGCUUUUGGUCUAAAAUGCCUCAUUUUUAUUUUAGAUUCUUACAAGAAGUGUAAGACUUAUGCAAGCCAUGUUGAGAGUAACACCUCUCAAUUCAGAUCUGCCAAAGGUUUGCUUGAAGGGACAUGCAAUAAUUCCAAUGAACAUUUAGAGAUGGCAAGAAAGAAUGGUACAAUCAAAUGGCCCACCUCCUCAGAUUCUUUUUGGUUGAGCAGUUAUGGAGAUCCAGAUGGAGGUGGUCGGAGAAAAAGGGGAGUACUAGUUAAUUGAAAAGAUACAUUUGUAUGCCAUCAUGAGGCAAAACUUUCAGCCUAAUUAAGUUGAACCUUAAUCAUUCUACUAUAAUUAUUCACAAUAAGGCAAUUAGUUGAAACAUGAACAGAUUCAAAUAGGUAAAAGUCAGUGUAUUCUAAUUGUAAAAAUAAACUUAUGUAUUCAUCAAGGGUAUCAGAAUAAGUCAAUGCAAGAUGAUGUCAUGGUUAGCAUUUCUGGUUAUGCCACAUGAGGUUAAAUUAUCAAGGAUCAUUUUAAACAUUGCAGUUAAUCAGACUGCAAAUGCAAUCAAGUCAAAUAAUCCAUAUGCAUGCAGAGCUUAGGUGCAAACUACAAAGGCACACGUGGUGAUAAAUCAGUCGAGUUUAAUCUGAGGACCUGAUAAAAUCAGUGCGUCUAUCAGAAUCAGAAAUUAAGAUGUCAACAGUUCACCUUUGUUCGGGAGAGGGCAGAAAAUGGGGAGAAUGGAAAAAGAGAGGAAAAGGGACAAGGGGCCCACAAGUGUGUUUCUAAUCAUGUGAGCCCCACAACCUAUUUCCCUUCAUUUUCCUCCCAUUUUCCCUCUCCCAAACUGAGCCUUCAUAAAAGCAAUCAAGAUGUCAUGGCUUUAUAAUGUAAAUAGCAAAUAACCAAAAUAGGAGAAAAUGAAAUUAUUGAGUAAGAUGAUGAACUUAAGAACAUGGACACUCAAAGAAGCCCAAAUGUAAUGGAUCAACCCGACUGAAAGGAUGCGCAAAUUCUAAUAGCACAACUGCAGAUUUAACAUAUGCAACCCUCAAUAUUCAUUGUUUUUGUGCCAAAAUAAUUUAAAGCAUCCAUCCCUGCAUUGCUCUUCACAUGAGGCCACAUGAAAAAAUAAUAAAAGCCACAAGAGAGAAGUUCCAUAUUCUAAAAAAUUUUAAAUCAAAAGGAAAAGAUGAAGAAGAAUAGUUAUAAGGUCGAAAAAAGAAGAGCAAAAUAAUCAGUCUCCAAUUAUAGUAAACUGAUGAAUCUUUUGGAAUGACUGAUUCUAUCUCUAAUAUAAUUUUUACAGAGUUCAUGUAAAUACAGCUCUAUAUUACAUCCUCCAUAAUUUUCUAUUAAGACAGAGACUUAGGGGAAAAAAAUAAAUUACAGAUCCAUAGCAUGUAAAUGGAAAACCAAAAACAACAAAUAAGAAAUGUAUAGGAUGCAAUUCUUCUACCUCUCAAGCAAUGAAACUAAGGAAGAAAAAAGAACUGCAAAAAUUUGGAAAAAGGAUGAGUUUCUCUUUCUUUUUGAGAUCUCCACAAGAAAACUAUUGAUGUUGCUUGUUCUGAGAAGGGUUUGAAAGGCUUGGUGGUGCCUUCCUCAAACUUGUCUCCAAAGCAUUCUGGGGAUCUUUAAUAACUCCGCUUAAAUUUCCUUCAUUUGAUGAAAAUGAGGAGAUAGAUACUAGCAGUCUCCUUGGUUGAUUUCCGUUUCCUGGAUGGAUCUCUCUCUCAUAGUGGAGAGAUAGUAGAGAAGACAUGAGAAUAUGAAUAAGAAUCAAGGCUAAAAGAACAAUCAAAAUUCUACUGUUUCUCAUGUUGUUCUGUUGGGAAGAAGAAGAUACGGUUAUGUUUUGGAGGUAGGACAUAUGAUGACAUCUUCACAAGGAAGAUGGCAGAGCAUGCUUUUUACAGAUAGUUUGCAGUCAAGUCUAACUAGGUGUAAUAUAUAGAUGCUACUUAACAACACCUACAUUCUCAAUAGACUUUGUUUGGUAACCACAGACAAAUAACCAAGAUAAUAGGCAGAGACUUUACAGUAACAAACUUAAUUCCACUGUUAAAACGGGUAGAUCUAAGCAACCUCCAAACAAGGUCAGCAAUAACUGGAACAAGAAUGUCCCUAAACUCAAAUUACAGUAAGGAAUUCAGGUAGAGGAACAUAACAAUUUCACAGCAGGUCAAUGAGGCAUCCCAGAAGUGCAUGUUAGGAAUUCACUUAUAUCCAUGUUUAAACUGGUAGAAACAUAACUCAACUGGUAUCGGUCACCGUAACAUUUUCCUUAUGACAUAUGCCAUGGAGAUUUAUUUCAGUAUUUUAGUGAUUGUCCUUUGAUUCUUUAAUAGGUUGGAACUUGGAAGCUGCUGAUCAUGUGAUACUGAAUUGAGUAUUAUAUUUUUCUGACUUCUGUGCCGUCCCUCCAACUAUUAAACUUAAUUUCUCAUGUGAUAAGUCACAUGAGAUCAAAUCAGUCAUCCAUUUUCUGUCCUUCAUUGUAUAAUAAAGCACCAAAUGGUUAUGCACCUCUAUUUUAGGGUAAAAAAUACAGCUAAAAUUAGCUCAGCAAACCUGUUUUCCAGAGCAUUAAUCAGCCAUUAUUCUUCUAGGAAAAAACCUUGUUUCUCUUCCACUUCUUAUCAUUUAGGACUUACACCAUUUUGACUUGGUUUCCAUCAAAUAUUUCCCCAAAGAUGAUCCCUUUUACUGACUCUUACAAAGCUCAAGUUGAUAUACAAACGUAGUGUCAAUGCUGUUUGCCUCAUGCCUCGAACAAUAUAUUAACCUUUUGUGCUCUCUAAAUUUAGCUGGCUUGUCAGCCUUUGACAAAAUCUCUUUUUGGAUUCAUAAAUAUAUUUUAAUUCAAAAUUCCCCUCAUGGCCACUUGUUUUCCUUCAGUAUCAGAGAUGAAUUUAAUAUAGAACAGGGAUUUAAAACAUUAAGACAUAGUAAAGAAGUAUCCACCCGUCCACCGUCCAUCAGCAUUCUUUGAAACAUAACAGAAAAAGAUAUUCCAUCAGCAAUCUUUGAAAUAUAAUAGAAAAUGAUAUUCUUCCAAAUUUAGCAAGCCUUCACCCAUUAAACUAUGCGAUUUGGCAUCACUUCUAAGUCAAUUCACAUUAUUCAGCUUAUUGGAAGUACUUUAUUCCUACAAGUUUCAACCUCAUUGCCUUGACCUAAAGAGAGAUGAUCAUAGGGGCUAAAGAAGAAAAUUAUAUUGCAAUAUCUGAUCAAAGAGUUGUUUGAAUGGUGCUGUGAUGGUCUCAUCACCUAGGCGCAUGUCGACUGAAUAUU
rnacentral:misc_RNA from 1 species